CUUUCCAGCUCCUGGGGGCCUCAAGUUACAGCCUAACUGUAAUCUUUUCCUCUGACUUUGCAUGGUUUUUUCCUGUCUCUGUGCCCCUCCUUUUCUUAUAAGGAUAUAAAUCAUUGGGUUUAGGGCCUGCCUUAAAUCCAGACUGAUUUUAUCUUGAGAUCUUUAACAAAUUACAUCUGCAAAGACCCUAUUGUAAGGCUAUAUUCCAAGGUUCUGAGUGGACAUAAAUUUUGGGGGGACACUGUUCAGCCCACUACAGCACUAAAAAUGGCAACUGAGAACUGAGAUAGGAAAAAAAGUGGAAAUUGAAAAAUCACAGAGAACCCAAGAAGUUACUUUUUUUUUCAUCUCUGUCUCUGCUUCACUCUAAAAGUCUAUUCCAUUCAUCUGUGUCUUAAUCAACUGUUUGUUUCUGCUCUCUUCCCCGUGGGAAGGUCUAGUUGCCCCACAGCUACCAAUGAUGGUACACAACCCCACCUAAAACUGGGAAUCCAUAGACCCCAAUUCCACUCCUGGGGGAGAGAAUCUUCUAAGCUGAACUUAGAUCAUGGGUCCACUCCAGGCUGAUGGAUUUUGACCAGAGGGAUGGUGUCAAACCUGUAUCAUAACCAUAGAGCAAAGACAGUUAGUUCUCUGGGUUGGCUUGUGGACUGAAGUGACACCCCAAACAAUGUCUAAUAUACAGAGAAUUGGUUAAAUUAUGCUCUGACCAUAGGAAGGAAGACUGCAUAACUAUUAAACUAUUGUGUUUUAGAACAAAUGCUAAUGGCAAGUCAACAUGAGAAUAAUUAAGUGGGAAAGCAAGUGAUGAAGCAACAUAUAUAUAUAUAUAUAUACAUAUACAUAUAUAAUACUGUACCCACAUUAUUAAUAAACACAGACACACACUCAUAGAGUUAAGGAUAGAAGAAUAUACACCACCACAUUUACAGCAGUAUCACUAGAUGAUAGAUUAUGCGUGGGUUUUACUUUUUUCUUUUUCCAAAAUUUACUUUUAAAUUGCUUAAUAUUUUAUUAAUGUCCAAAGAAUGAUUUCUAACACAAAGGAAUGAUUACUUAAUAAUGGAAUUUGAGACAUAGUGAGAGAAAAUUUGGGAUAAUAAGUCUAGGGGACAUUGAUUGGUUAUUUGCCUAAUAUGCAAAGUUUCCUCUUUUUCUGGACUUCCCUGUCAUGAUCACCUGUAGACUCUGGAUCCCAAGGGGCAGCCAUAUUCUUCCAUGUGGACCAUAGGCAGAGAUCAGUCGGCAGAGAGGAGCGAAAAUAAUGAAGCUGAUUUCAAAACAGGGACAGAGAUGACAAACAUAGAUCUGGAUAGCCCUUCAGUGUGAUUUAAGCCCUCUCUAAAACCUGUUGACAUUUCUCUCUUGAGUUUGUUCUGAUGCUUUAUAUCUAUCAUAAAUGUCUUCUUGUGUUUAAACGGGCUUGAGUUGAUUUCUGUUGCUUGCCAACAAAGAGUUCUGAGCAAUACCACAUCCUUCACAGUUCUUUGAAAUCAUAAUACACAAGUGAGCCUCGUCUAAGUUCUAAGAAGAGUUCUUUAGAGCUGAGACCCAACCCUCCAGAUAAAGCUAUGCCCUUGGGUGCCUGAGGCACAAGCCAAUGAGUAAGGAAAAAGUAAUAAAAGGGAGAGGUGAUGAGAAGGAAGAGAUGAGCAAGAGGCAGAUCAAAGAGAAAGCCAGGGGAAGGGGGAUAGGAGGGUCAUAUAAGGACAGAGUUCUAGAAUCUAGAAUGCCAACAAAAGUCAUUUCAGAAGGCCCCUCAUCCCUGGCCUUUGGUCAUCUUCAAUUCACAGUUCCAUGAACAGUGAAUUGUCUUCUAUGCAUGUCAAAUGAGUUCCAAAAUCAGUUGAGUUUUUACGGACUUGAUCUACAGGGUCAUCAAGUUGGUCAGUACAUUCAACCCAAUGCAUCUAAAUUCCUUCACUAGUCGUAGAAACCAUCCCAAAUCUUGGAUAUUUGGGGGAGACAUUAUUUCUUAACACCACAUGCUAUGGAUAACCGCAAACUGGGUAGUUGCGUGUGACCAACAUCUCUCUAACAACAAAUUCCAUUUCUCAGUACUUUCUAAGAAAAUGUAUCUCAGGGACCUUUGAAAAAGUCAAGUGAUCCUUCUGUAUGGCCUCUUUGAUAAAAAUGUAUUACUGUCGGUGUUUAAAAAUAAAUUUCACCUUAACAGACUAUGAUCUAUUGAAUGAGAAUCCACAAGUCCACACUGAUAUAAAUAAAUUUUUUUAAAUGGGAGAGAAAGGAAAGUGGAAUGCCAACUAAGAAAUGUGGAAAGAAUGAUGAAAUUAUCAUCUGGCCAACACCACAAAUACAACUGAUACAGGCCAGAAACAUCAGUGGAUGCUAAACCUGGUGGGUAUGAACUUGAUUACAAACAGGAUACUGACUUAACUGUCAAGUAUCUCCCCAUAAAAUUAUUAGUAACGACAAAGAGGAAAACAGCAACUUUAUAUAGUAGAGAGACCCAGCAGACUGAACUUUAGCCAAGUGAUCAAAAUUAUUAGCCUCAACGCUAGUUGGACAAAUCGAUACCACGUGCAUCCUGAUACAAUGUGUGAGAGGGACACAUCCCUUCUAAGACAUUCCUGCCCAAAGCAACAUAAUCGGGAUCUAAUCAUGGGGAAGCAUGAGACAAACCGAAAUUGAGGGACAUUCUACAAAACUAUCAAGUUCAUGAAAGACAAAGAAAGACUCUAGAACUAUUCCAGUUUAACAGAAGAUAAAGGAACAGGACAAUUAAAUGCAGCACGUGGUCCUUGACUGAACCCUGAACCAGAAAAAAACAAUUAUUGUAUUUUGCUAUGAAGUAGAUUAUUAGGGAAGUUAAAGAGAAUUGAACAAGGUCUACCAAUGAGGUAUUAUCUAAAUGACUUCGGGGUGAAAAGACGCAAUUCCUACAAUGUAAUCUUAGUUCAGAACAGAAAAUUAUAUAUCUUAUUAAAUAUAUUAUUAAAGUUUCAUAUCUACAUACACACACAUAUAUAUGUGUGUAUCUCUAUCCAUCUACCCAUCCAUCCAGAGGGAAUAACAAAGCAACAUGGUAAAGACAAAAUAGUAACAUUUGGAGAAGCCAAGUGAAACUGUUAUGGGAAUUUUUUGUUCUAUUGCGACUUUUCUCUAAGUCUGGAAUUAUUUGGGAAUAAAAAUAAAUACUGCACAAAUCCCUCAGGACCAAGCAGUAGUGGCCCAUUUUCCUGGUAGUUGAUAAAAUGUCAUUUUGUCCCAGCAAAAUGUCAGCCUUGACUUCAUCAUGAAGGUGACUCAGUUCACUUCCCAAGUCCCACUGUUACUCUUCCAGCUGCUUGGCGUUUGUCAGCCCUGGCCUUGUCCCAGGCCCUGAGUGCACCUGGAGGUCUUCCCUCGGUGUCCACGUGGGCAGUCGUGGCUUGUCGAGGCUGGAAGCAUCCACGGUCCUGACUCAGAAGCCAGGGGGCUCCUCACAUCCUCUUCCCAGGACCGCGGGGACGAGGGACUGCCCUGGGCUGGUGGAUGGCAAGGGGAAUUCUGCUCCCUUCCAGGAAGGACCCAAACAGCAGGCUGUGGAAGGAGACCAUGCCUUUACAACGAGUGGAGCUUGAACUGAAGACCAGUAGAGGACUGGGAAAGUCAUCUUAUCUUCAAAGAUGGACCAAAUCCUGCUCACCAAACAGGGGUGCCUGGCCACGGAAGUUUAGAGAUGAAGGCCCAUUGUGAGUCUUUUCACAGUUUUGAUUGAGGAGAAAGGAAGGAGAAGAGGCGAUGUGCAGUGUAUUUCCGCUCUGGGAGAGCUAGUCCAGGAGAGCAGACCUCCCCGUUGCAAGGGCCUGGCGACUGCCGGCCAGGACCACAGCCAUAAGGAGCAGCUCUCCCUCUGCCCGUCCCUAUGGCUUGCCAUAUGCUUGGUUCUCCAGUUUUUAACUGUAUUUUGAGAAUUGUGUUAUAAAUAAUUUAUCCCCCAAAUUAAAAAUGCUUUUCUU